CCCCGGCGCAGUUGUCCUUCCUUCCUUCACGCCGCGCGUGGUCAGAGCUACGCCGCGCGUGAUCAAGUCAGAGAGCAAUCCAAUUCUGAUCAAAGCUUCACGCCGCGCGUGGUUAGGCAUUACGCCGCGUGUGAUCAUGGUGAAAAACUUGGCUCCUUGUGAUCUCCAUCACGCCGCGCGUGAUGGGCUACGCCCCUAGCGUAGUGAAAAUCAGCAAUUUCCUGCAAUUUUCCUGUUUUCUUGCAAAACAAGUAAUCAUGCUUAUGAAUAGAUUUCUCUUACAUUUAUUGCUUAAAACCUACUAAAAUGCAUUUAAUGUUGCUAAAAUAGGC
rnacentral:lncRNA from 1 species